GACGAACGCUGGCGGCGUGCUUAACACAUGCAAGUCGAACGGAAAGGCCCUGCUUUUGUGGGGUGCUCGAGUGGCGAACGGGUGAGUAACACGUGAGUAACCUGCCCUUGACUUUGGGAUAACUUCAGGAAACUGGGGCUAAUACCGGAUAGGAGCUCCUGCUGCAUGGUGGGGGUUGGAAAGUUUCGGCGGUUGGGGAUGGACUCGCGGCUUAUCAGCUUGUUGGUGGGGUAGUGGCUUACCCAGGCUUUGACGGGUAGCCGGCCUGAGAGGGUGACCGGCGACAUUGGGACUGAGAGACGGCCCAGACUCCUACGGGAGGCAGCAGGGGGGAAUAUUGCACAAUGGGCGGAAGCCUGAUGCAGCAACGCCGCGUGCGGGAUGACGGCCUUCGGGUUGUAAACCGCUUUCGCCUGUGACGAAGCGUGAGUGACGGUAAUGGGUAAAGAAGCACCGGCUAACUACGUG
rnacentral:rRNA from 1 species